rnacentral:rRNA from 1 species
CGUCACACUAUCAUUAACUGAAUCCAUAGGUUAAUGAGGCGAACCGGGGGAACUGAAACAUCUAAGUACCCCGAGGAAAAGAAAUCAACCGAGAUUCCCCCAGUAGCGGCGAGCGAACGGGGAGGAGCCCAGAGCCUGAAUCAGUGUGUGUGUUAGUGGAAGCGUCUGGAAAGGCGCGCGAUACAGGGUGACAGCCCCGUACACAAAAAUGCACAUGCUGUGAGCUCGAUGAGUAGGGCGGGACACGUGGUAUCCUGUCUGAAUAUGGGGGGACCAUCCUCCAAGGCUAAAUACUCCUGACUGACCGAUAGUGAACCAGUACCGUGAGGGAAAGGCGAAAAGAACCCCGGCGAGGGGAGUGAAAAAGAACCUGAAACCGUGUACGUACAAGCAGUGGGAGCCUCUUUAUGGGGUGACUGCGUACCUUUUGUAUAAUGGGUCAGCGACUUAUAUUCUGUAGCAAGGUUAACCGAAUAGGGGAGCCGAAGGGAAACCGAGUCUUAACUGGGCGUUAAGUUGCAGGGUAUAGACCCGAAACCCGGUGAUCUAGCCAUGGGCAGGUUGAAGGUUGGGUAACACUAACUGGAGGACCGAACCGACUAAUGUUGAAAAAUUAGCGGAUGACUUGUGGCUGGGGGUGAAAGGCCAAUCAAACCGGGAGAUAGCUGGUUCUCCCCGAAAGCUAUUUAGGUAGCGCCUCGUGAAUUCAUCUCCGGGGGUAGAGCACUGUUUCGGCAAGGGGGUCAUCCCGACUUACCAACCCGAUGCAAACUGCGAAUACCGGAGAAUGUUAUCACGGGAGACACACGGCGGGUGCUAACGUCCGUCGUGAAGAGGGAAACAACCCAGACCGCCAGCUAAGGUCCCAAAGUCAUGGUUAAGUGGGAAACGAUGUGGGAAGGCCCAGACAGCCAGGAUGUUGGCUUAGAAGCAGCCAUCAUUUAAAGAAAGCGUAAUAGCUCACUGGUCGAGUCGGCCUGCGCGGAAGAUGUAACGGGGCUAAACCAUGCACCGAAGCUGCGGCAGCGACGCUUAUGCGUUGUUGGGUAGGGGAGCGUUCUGUAAGCCUGCGAAGGUGUACUGUGAGGUAUGCUGGAGGUAUCAGAAGUGCGAAUGCUGACAUAAGUAACGAUAAAGCGGGUGAAAAGCCCGCUCGCCGGAAGACCAAGGGUUCCUGUCCAACGUUAAUCGGGGCAGGGUGAGUCGACCCCUAAGGCGAGGCCGAAAGGCGUAGUCGAUGGGAAACAGGUUAAUAUUCCUGUACUUGGUGUUACUGCGAAGGGGGGACGGAGAAGGCUAUGUUGGCCGGGCGACGGUUGUCCCGGUUUAAGCGUGUAGGCUGGUUUUCCAGGCAAAUCCGGAAAAUCAAGGCUGAGGCGUGAUGACGAGGCACUACGGUGCUGAAGCAACAAAUGCCCUG